rnacentral:rRNA from 1 species
AUGGCACAGAAGGGUACAGGAGAACAAACUUCAAGCUCAACAGCAGGUGUCGACGACCGGAGUAGCUGGGACCUGAUUUGGAAAGCGGCAAUACCAGAGAAAGUAAAAAAAUUUGCUUGGAGAGUGGCCACGAAUACCCUAGCAACUAAGGUGAACAAGUGCAAACGUACUCUGGAGACUGAUAGUACGUGUACAAUUUACGGUCAUUCAGAUGAAACUGAAUAUCAUGCAGUGGUAGCAUGCACGAAGAGCAGAGCCCUCAGACAUGAGAUGAGGAAACACUGGAACCUACCAAAGGAACAAGUGUUUUGGCAUACGGGCGUGGACUGGCUCCAAGUGCUUCUGAACCGGUGUGAUGCCGAAUCUAGAAACAAGAUACUCCUGCUCCUAUGGCGUGCCUGGCACCUCCGAGAGAACAUAGUGCACGGCGAUGGGAAA